UAGGUGAUUCUUGACGCAAAGCUAAAAG
rnacentral:sRNA from 1 species